rnacentral:lncRNA from 1 species
GGCUCGAUUAAAUUCAACACAUACGUAACAUAUCCCCAUAUUGGGAUGUUUUUUCGAGUAUUCGCUGGAAUUUUACAGCAAGCUCAUUCAUUACCAAAUCACGUACCUUCGGGAUUUAACCGGAUAUAGCUCCUCGUUCAAAUGCCUUCGGGACAUAGCCCGGUUUUAGUAACUCACACAAUGCCUUCGGGACAUAACCCGGAUUUAACAACUCGCACGACUGCCUU